CACCAGACUCCUACGGGAGGCAGCAGUGGGGAAUAUUGCACAAUGGGGGAAACCCUGAUGCAGCGACGCCGCGUGAGCGAUGAGGUAUUUCGGUAUGUAAAGCUCUAUCAGCAGGGAAGAAAAUGACGGUACCUGACUAAGAAGCCCCGGCUAACUACGUGCCAGCAGCCGCGGUAAUACGUAGGGGGCAAGCGUUAUCCGGAAUUACUGGGUGUAAAGGGAGCGCAGACGGCAGUGCAAGUCUGGAGUGAAAGCCCGUGGCUUAACCACGGGACUGCUCUGGAAACUGUGCAGCUAGAGUGCAGGAGAGGCAGGCGGAAUUCCUAGUGUAGCGGUGAAAUGCGUAGAUAUUAGGAGGAACACCAGUGGCGAAGGCGACUUUCUGGACUGUACCUGACGCUGAGGCGCGAAAGCGUGGGUAGCGAACGGGAUUAGAUACCCGUGUAA
rnacentral:rRNA from 1 species